AUUGAACGCUGGCGGCAGGCCUAACACAUGCAAGUCGAGCGGAUGAGUGGAGCUUGCUCCAUGAUUCAGCUGCGGACGGGUGAGUAAUGCCUAGGAAUCUGCCUGGUAGUGGGGGACAACGGUUCGAAAGGAACGCUAAUACCGCAUACGACCUACGGAAGAAAGUGGGGAUCUUCGGACCUCACGCUGUCAGAUGAGCCUAGGUCGGAUUAGCUAGUUGGUGAGGUAAAGGCUCACCAAGGCGACGAUCCGUAACUGGUCUGAGAGGAUGAUCAGUCACACUGGAACUGAGACACGGUCCAGACUCCUACGGGAGGCAGCAGUGGGGAAUAUUGGACAAUGGGCGAAAGCCUGAUCCAGCCAUGCCGCGUGUGUGAAGAAGGUCUUCGGAUUGUAAAGCACUUUAAGUUGGGAGGAAGGGCAGUAAGUUAAUACCUUGCUGUUUUGACGUUACCAACAGAAUAAGCACCGGCUAACUUCGUG
rnacentral:rRNA from 1 species